AUUGAACGCUGGCGGCAGGCCUAACACAUGCAAGUCGAGCGGAGCGGCGGACGGGUGAGUAAUGCCUAUGAAUCUGCCUGGUAGUGGGGGAGAACGUCCGGAAACGGGCGCUAAUACCGCAUACUAUCAGAAGAGCCUAGGCCGGAUUAGCUGGUUGGUGGGGUAAAGGCCUACCAAGGCGACGAUCCGUAACUGGUCUGAGAGGAGGAUCAGUCACACUGGAACUGAGACACGGUCCAGCCGCCUACGGGAGGCAGCAGUGGGGAAUAUUGGACAAGGGGCGAAAGCCUGAUCCAGCCAUGCCGCGUGUGUGAAGAAGGUCUUCGGAUUGUAAAGCACUUUAAGUUGGGAGGCGUUACCAACAGAAUAAGCACCGGCUAACUUCGUGCCAGCAGCCGCGGUAAUUC
rnacentral:rRNA from 1 species